GCCGGAGUGGUGGAAUUGGUAAACGCACGGGACUCAAAAUCCCGCGUCCGCAAGGACUUGUCGGUUCGAGUCCGACCUCCGGUACCA
rnacentral:tRNA from 1 species